CCUACGGGAGGCUGCAGUGGGGGAUAUUGCACAAUGGGGGAAACUCUGAUGCAGCGACGCCGCGUGUGGGAAGACGGUCCUCUGGAUUUUAAACCACUGUCUCCAGGGACGAAGAUGUCGGUAUCCUGGGAGGAAGCGCCGGCAAACCACGUGCCAGCAGCCGCGGUAAUACGUAGGGAGCGAGCGUUGUCCGUAAUUACUGGGUGAAAAGGGAGCGUAGGCGGGGAUGCAAGUUGGGUGUCAAAACUACGGGCUCAACUGGUAGUCGCACUCAAAACUGCAGCUCUUGAGUGAAGUAGUGGCAGGCGGAAUUCCUAGUGUAGCGGUAGAAUGCGUAGAUAUUAGGAGGAACACCAGUGGCGAAGGCGGCCUGCUGGGCUUUUACUGACGCUGAGGCUCGAAAGUGUGGGGAGCAAACAGGAUUAGAUACCCUUGUAGUC
rnacentral:rRNA from 1 species